GCAGCCCUUUUCAAACCGGGAAGCUCCAGGUCAGUUUCCCUUUCCAAGUUUUACGGCCUGCCAUGUUGUCCAUUCUGCUCAGCUAUUUAAAAAAUGUUGAAUAUCAACAAUGGCUUUCACUGGUGUAUUGUCAACUUUUGUAUGAAGCAAUCUUGGCUGAAUGAGAUGGGUCCCAGAGCAGGGAGGGCUUGGCUGCGGCAUGCACCGCAACACCACUGGCGCCUGCCUGUCUCUCUCUCUCUCUCUCUCUCUGCUGCAGGCAGGAUCAGGGAGGCAGGAGCAGCCGUCCCUCUAGUCCCUGUCUCAGCCCAGCCGCUGGGGUCUGCGUGGAGCUGGGAAAGCCACCCCCUCGUCAGUCCUCUCUGCGAACCCAUCCUCAUCCCAGGUUCCCCUCCCCCUGCCUCUGGCCCUGUCGUCUGGGAGCCCCUGAAGGUGUGACACCUCACACAGGGAUCGGCGAGCAGGAGCCCCGGGGGCCAGUCAGAGCUGGGUAGCCGUGCCAACCCCAUUGGAGAUGUAUGUUUGAAGAUAAUCGUAGGAAAUCCUCCACCCAACCCAGAGAAACCCUUUCCUGGUCAGCAGCAACCCUGGAGUACCCUACUACCUGACAGGGCCAGCUGGUCCCAGGGGAGCAGUUCCCCUUCCAGGAGCGACAGCAGCAGCUCUCCCACCCUCCUCACCUCAACACAGAAUCACGGGGCUGGAAGAACAAGUUCAAUCACCAUCAAGAUCACAAUCACCAUUGACUACAGGUCAUUCUUGAAUUGAGGAGGCAUUUAAUCUUUCUAGAAUAAAACAUAUAUAUAUAUUUGGUUACUUCUUCCCAUUCCAAAUGAACUAAUGACAGCUUAAUUACUUUAAAUAGUCUUUAUCAUUAUGAUAAUAUCAGUGCCACCAGUAGGUGUAGUAACACCAAUGACAGUAACACCAAUGAUAAAUUGGUAAUUGAGGAUUUUCUUAAAUGGAGGCCAAAUAUGCUCAAAUCUAAGGUCAUUAACCCUUUAAAGGUAAUUUACAAAAGUUGUGAUUAAUCAUUUUGCUCACAAUUUAAUUUCCCUUCAUUUAAAUUGGGUUACACCAAUUACACUUUUUACCUAGAGACAGCAAAUUAUCAAUGGACUCCUCAAAUGUAUGACAUACAUACAUGUAAAAAGCGAAUAAUUUUCUUUAAAGACCCGAUAACAGUUCGCCACUGCAGGGAAUGCUCAAGGUCCUUGUAUAUAUUUAUAAUGACUGAUUUUCAAGGUGGUAACACCAAUGACAUAAAACGUAGUGAUACAGAACAUAUUAUAUUUGUAAAAAAUGUUUAAAAAAAAGGUAUUUUAAUAGCCUUUGUUUUUAUUGAUCUAUACAAUAUAUUAAUAUAUACUCUGUUUACUUUCUAGCAAUACAAAUAAUAGAUAGCUAACUUUAAAUCUCCAAAACAUGUCAUUACAACUCAUCAAGUACUUUAAACAAUGCAUACACAUACAGUUUUGCAUUAAGAAGGACUUGAUAAACAGUUCAGUAUAAACUAAACGACAACUAUUUGUCAUUUUAAAGUGUUUUUCAUGGUCUCAAUGGUGAGGGACACAAAUGUAAGUAAAGAAUGACCCCUACAGCACAAGGAUGGGAUAGGGUUACAGGUAUUUGUCUGCUGGUAUGACUUGUAACUUAUGUGUUCAUGUGUACACACACAUACACACACUCACUAUAGUACUGUUGUGGUUGAUGACAAUAAAUUCAUCAGGAGUGUUUUUGUUCUUGUUUCAGAUCAAAUAUCUCUGGUUCCCACCAAUGAGAAACUCAAAAAGAUGAGACAAUGAACGUAAUGCAUUUUGUUAUUGUUGUUGUGAGAAACCCCAACUCAUCUCCUCCUCUAAAGGGGAAGUCUCACUCUUGUGCCACUGGUGUCGAUUUCCCCUCACAGAGACGAGAGACGGACAUGGCAUCACUCAGUUCCCCCUCGGGCUGGACAACAGGUCUUAUGUAAAGGAGCAGAGUGGUAGUUUUUCUGAGUGUGUGUGUGUGUGUGUUCACAUGUGUGUGUGUCUGCAUACAUGGUGGGGUAAGAGGUUUGUAAGCUGAUCAGGCUGUGUAAUGAUGUGCUGUGAUCAUCAACUGUGUCUCAUUUCAGAGAGAGAGAGAACUCCUGUCUUACUUCUCUGUAGGAAAUAUUUCACAUAUGAAUCACCUACCGCUCCCACAUGUAUUAUCCACAUCAGGAUAGAUGGAAUAAUUAAUUACAUUCUAAAGCCAUUAAACAUAGACAGAACAGUUAUGCAUUUUAAUGAUCAUCAUCCUUUAAAACAAAAUUCACAUUUUAAUUGAUUUUGUUUCCAUUACUUAAGUGUAGGAAUAGUUUUCUUUUAAAAAUACUUCCAAUUUUUGAACAUUUCUGUCACAUAAGACGUAUGAUGUGUAUUGAAACCCCACUCCCAUAACUCAUUGGGGUGACAGUGCCAAACAGAGCCGAAGACACCACGGCUUGAUAAGCAGGAUAUACGGUUACACCUGCCGAUAUGUAGAUAAGAUUACAUUUAAGACAGAGGGAUGAGUGGUGGAGGUGUAGGAGGUGGGUAAGAAUGGGGGGAUGUGGCCACUCAGUGAUGCAUGAAGAACAACAUCCAGGCUAGGGUAAGGUUGGGGUUGGGGCCGGGGCUGGGCGGAUGGCCAAGGGGUCGCGGGGUUGUGUUUACCUGUGGUAGGUAUUUCCUCUGGGAGCUGAUAAGACCGACGGAGGGGAAGUUCUGCGUUCCAGGUGAGUGCAGAGGGUCCUGCAAAACGACACCAAACACCAUCGACCCCCAACCCAUACCUAUACCUACCUCUCAGACUCCACCCCUACACACACCCACACACAGAUCCCGCCACUCCUCGACAUUCUGACACACACCUCACGCUCUGGCACGUUCGCUCACUCACCAAGACACAUUAAACACACAUGCCGGGCAUGGUUUCUCGCAGUCAUUCACACCCUCACGGACACAUAGGCCACUCAUGUUUAGUCAGCCAUGUUAUACUCUUGUCAUACUGUAGCAAUGGUAAAAAGGCAAUGUAAUGGGAUUGCAUCUUUAUAAGAUAUCCCAUACAAUUCACAGUAUCGCAUAAUAAAGGUAGGAUAGCUUAUAGAUCAAAUCUACCGUUGCUACAUUCAUUUUGGACUCAUAAAGGAAUUAUAUACUGUAUACCCAUUGAUUCUUGAAGAAUAUAACUUAUUAAGGCCCAAUGAGCUAGUUCAUCUGUUGUACCCCAUCAGAACCCAAAAUAGAAGCUUGUUUUACUCCAAUGUUUGUAAACAAAGAAAAUGUAAACAAACACUGUAUGGUCUUAAAACAUGGUUAAAACUAUAAUUUUGAUACCACAGAUGGU